rnacentral:rRNA from 1 species
UCCGUAGGUGAACCYGCGGAAGGAUCAUUAAUAAAUGAGCGCAAGCUUUUCUAUUAUCUUUCUACACCUGUGAACUAUUUGCCUUYGGGCACUCUUACAAACAUAAUGUAAUGAAUGUAAUCUACUAUAAAYAAAUAUAACUUUCAACAACGGAUCUCUUGGCUCUCACAUCGAUGAAGAACGCAGCGAAAUGCGAUAAGUAAUGUGAAUUGCAGAAUUCAGUGAAUCAUCGAAUCUUUGAACGCAGAUUGCGCCCUUUGGUAUUCCGAAGGGCAUGCCUGUUGGAGUGUCUUAUAAACCUCACCUCUAUAGUUUUCUAUAGUUGUGCUUUGGGUGUUGCCAUUYRUUUGGCUCGCCUUAAAUGUCUAAGUGGAAUGCGUAAUAAGUUCUCGCAACCCUCCACUCUAAUUCACUUUAUAUUCUGACCUCCAAUCAGGUAGGACUACCCGCUGAACUUAAGCAUAUCAAUAAGCGGAGGA